UAGAUGCGAGAGUAGAGCAUAUCAAUAAGCGGAGGAAAAGAAACUAACAAGGAUUCCCUAGUAACGGCGAGUGAAGCGGGAAGAGCUCAAAUUUGAAAUCUUCAAGGUUUACCUUGACGAAUUGUAGUUUAUAGAAGUGUUUUCUGUUAGAGGAGUAGUAAAAGUUCUUUGGAAUAGGACAUCAUAGAGGGUGAGAAUCCCGUAUUUGGACUAUUCUUCUAGCGUUGUGAUACACUUUCAAAGAGUCGGAUUGUUUGGGAAUGCAGUCCAAAAUGGGUGGUAAAUUUCAUCUAUAAGCUAAAUAUUGGCGAGAGACCGAUAGCGAACAAGUACCGUGAGGGAAAGAUGAAAAGAACUUUGAAAAGAGAGUUAAACAGUACGUGAAAUUGUCAAAAGGGAAGCGUUUGACACCAGUGUUGUUUAGUUGAAAAUCAAUUCAAUAAUUUUUGAUUUUAAGUAGUAUUGACUUCAUCAGCUUGCUGCUUUCUUUUCGGGAAUUAUUGAAUGCACUUUUCAGUUAACAAGUCAACAUCAAUUUCUUUUGUUGUAAAAGGGUAAGAGGAAGGUGGCUUACGCUUCGGCGUAAGUGUUUAUAGCCUUUUACCUCUGCAAUCGGAGAGAUUGAGGACAGCAGCGUAGACUCUUCGGGGUUAGAUACACUUGUGCUAAGCUAUAGCCUUGUAUAGACAACUUGUUGACUAUGCUCAGUCAUGUAGCUUACUCGCUUGUGCUAUUUUACCUACGCUUAGGAUGUUGACACACGCGCGUGCUCG
rnacentral:rRNA from 1 species